ACAACCCAGUUGCAGGGUUGUAUAUAUACAGUCCUGCCACCCCAAGGGUAUCGCAAGCCUGCUUUAAACUCUGGAAUGCAGUCUGUGGAUCCAGGGAAGUCAUAGACAGAAGCCCAUUUACUGAGGAUUUUCCUGAGAGUGGAAUACAUAUAUACAAACACACAGAUUUGAGUAUAUGCGCGCGCACACACACACACACACACACAGACAUACAAACAGUAAAUAUAUAUGUGUAUAUAUAUAUAUAUAUAUAUACAUACUCAUAUUAAUACUUUUUUUUUUACAAAAAUGAUAUUCAACUCUAAUACUAUUUUAGCACAAGGCUUUUGGGUGCUUUUCCUUGAAUAUGUUAGUGCCCGUGGGGCUGUUGAACAUCAGGACCCAGAUGUGAGUUGAGAACGAGGUCAACAGUCAGGAAGAAACAGCCUCAGUUGAGAGGCAAGCCCAGAGAUGAGGCCAGGGGCUCAGCUCAGAGUCCAGGAACAACUAGCAGCAGUUCCCAGGGACAUUGUCUACAGAUCAUGGAAGGAUGGUUUUGGGAUGAAACUCUUCCACCGCAGAUCAUCAGGCAUUAGAUUCUCAUGAGAAGCUGCAGCCUAGAACCCUUGAGGGCACAGUUCACAACAGGGUUCACACUCCUAUAAGAAUCUAAUGCCACCCCUGAUAGGACAGGAGGCCGGAGCUCAGGCAGUAAUGCUCACUGGCCUGCCACUCACCUCCUGCUGUGCAGUGCAGUUCCUAACCAGCCACAGACCAGUGCCAGUCUGCAUCCCAGGGGUUGGGGGCCCCUGAACUAGAGGGUAUCACAGGGCCUGUUUGUAUGUGGUAUGGUAGCAGACCCAACCCCUCAAUAUGCCAGACUGAGCAGAGUGGUGAAACAAUGAACUUUUCUCACUUGGAUGUAUGGGUGAAACAGUUCAAUAUGACGAUGCCUUGGAAUUACCUGGAAUAAUAAUGGUGACUUUCCUUCUGUGAGAGCUGUUGUUCUAUCAGGGUCUGUUUCAUUUGAAAACAAAAACCUUUGCCUGGGCAAGAGUCCUAAAGAUGAGUUCAGAGCUGGCAGUAUUCUUGUCAGGUACGUAGAAGGAUGACGACAGGUUACAGAGCCAAUGUCCCACCUCCACCAUCCCCUCCCCUCUCUCCCCACCUCUUCUUUAAUUUUGGAUCUUGUGUCUUUUCAGCAACCAAGCUUCUAAAUUCAGAAACUUGGUAGUAAAAUUUGGCUUCUCUGAUCUUGUUUCUGAGGAGUGCCUAUCAGAAUAACCCACAGGGCCUUAAUGGUUUGUAAAUGAAUAAAAAUCAAUGAAUGGAUUAAACUGACACCAGAGAUUGAAGCUCAGUGAAAGAAUCAAGUUUUUCAUAGUUUCCUCCAAGUACAACAUUGAAAUGACCUCACUUCAGUGUGUUAGUUUAGUGCUUUUGCUUUCUAAAUGAAGGCGUCAAGCCAUUCCAUUAGGUAAGUCAGGCCGAAUUACCUACAUGCUGUUUUCUGGCUGCUGGGGAAGGGAAUGCAGGGCGUGUUGGAAGUCAGAGAACAUCCUUGACAGUUAAAGUGGAAUCAAUACCCAUUUCUUUUUGGGACCCAAGUGUAUGGUUUAAUUCUAGGCAUGGGAAGAUCCCAAGAAUUCCAAUUAACAACUCAUCUUUUUUUUUUUCACACCUAGUAUAAUAAACCAAACAUUGCAAACUUGAAAGAGAUUGAAAGAAAAAAGGAAAACCAUGAGAGAAAUAAAAUGUAAAAAGGCAGAAAUCCUGUUGCCCUAAGGCUAGUUAGGUGCUUUUAUUCAACACGAGGUGAAUAAAGUAACCAUGAUAUCCAAAGACUUUUAGAGAGUCACUAGGAGUCUGAGGGGAUGAUGGGUCACAGGAAGGGAGGCUGGGAGCAGGGGGUGCUGUUAUGCAUUUCGGGACCACCGCCCAGGUGGGGUGGGAUCCUUCACAGAGGAAGCUGAGAGGAGAGACUCACUGGCUCACUGGAACCUGUUAUUUGAAGACCAGAACAGUCAUUCUUGUGUAUUUGUUUUUUUUUUCUUUAGAGACAGGGUUUCAUUAUCUCGGCCAGGCUGGUCUUGAACUCCUGACCUUGUAAUCUACCCAUCUUGUACUCCCAAAGUGCUGGGAUUACAGGCAUGAGUCACUAUGCUCGGCCUGUUUUUUUUUUUUUUUUUUAAAUUUAUUUUUUUGAGACAGACCCUGCUGUAUCGCUGAGGUUGGAGUGCAGUGAUAUAAUCUGGGCUCACUGCAACCUCUGCCUUCAAGCGAUUCUCGUGCCUCAGCCUCCUGAGUAGCUGGGAUUAUAGACGCACAUCAUGCUCAGCUAAUUUUUGUAUUUUUAGUAAAGACAGGGUUUUACCAUGUUAGCCAUGUUAGUCUCAAACUCCUGACCUCCAGUAAUCCACCCUUCUUGGCCUCCCCAAAUGCUGGGAUUCUAGGUGUGAGCCACUGUGCCUGGCCAUUCUCAUUUAUUGAUACUCACUCCAUCCCAGGGACUCGACCUUUGCAUUUCUGUAAAAUGGGUAUCAUUUUCCUCAUUUUGUAAGGGUGGAAAUGGAGGUUAAGAGAGGUCUCUUCCCCACCUAAUUGUUAACAUUAAUUGAGCCCUUACUCUGUACCAGGCCACACUAAGCAAUUAAUGUGUUCGCUUAUUUAACCCUCAUGAUGUCACUAUGAUGUAGGCUACUCUUAUUUUCUCCAUUUUACAGAUUGGGGAGCCAAGGUACCAAGAGGUAGAGGGAGUUCUUCAAAGUCGCACGGUGGCUGUUCAAAAAGCUGAGAAAUAUCACAGACAUCGCAAGCUCAAAAAGCUGAGAAAUAUCACAGAAGUCGCAAAAUUCAGAAAGCAACAAGUGUCUUGGUGGAGAGGAAGGAGAUAAGGCAGCUAGCCUGUGAGCCACAUCUUUCCUGAUUCCUGGGGGAAUGCUUCCAGAAAAGAAAUCAGAGACAGAGCUCUGUUGUCCAGGCUGGAGUGCAGUGGCACAAUCAUAGCUCACUGCAACCUCCAACUCCUCAGCUCAGGCAAUCCGGUCAGCCUCCCAAGUAGCUGGGACUACAGUUUUAUAACUGAUAUGGAUGGAGGCUAAAUUGACAUAUUAAAAAUGCGAAUCACUUCACAGAUGGAGGAUGUCUUCUCAUUUGAUCUCUUGUCUCACAUUUCUGAUGUGAGCAACAUUUUGAGAUGAAAUGCCAAAUUAUUGGCCCAGAGUCGAUGCCCCUUGGCCAAGCGGCCCUAAGCCAGCCUGAUCCAACCUCACCUCACCCACUCGCUGCAAGAGACUCUCGGGUACAGGAUGAUUGAGGUGGCCCCAGCCUCCCCAGCAGGUGCUGACUUGCGCUUGGAAAUUCAAUCCUCUCAAGGUUUCUGACAUGCGUCUGUUGCCUAGUGGUGAAGUCCGGGCUUUUCGUGUACCCAUCGCCUGAACAGUGAACAUUGUGUUCAUUACUCAAUGGGCCUCUGUUGAUGGACACUCACGGUGAUCCCGUCUUUGCUGUUGUGAAUAGUGCUGCAAUCAACAUACGAAUGCAGGUAUCCUUUUGAUGUAAUGAUUUCUUCCCUUUGGAUAUAUCCCCAGUAGUAGAAUUACUGGAUCAAUUGGUAGUUCUAUUUUUAGUUCUUUGAGAAAUCUUCUUUAGGUCUUUAUGGCUGCACUUCAGGCAUCUGCAUUGGUGAGUUUAAAGACGCUGUGGAGCACUGCUUUUUCAAACUUUAAUGUGCAUUCAGAUUAACUGGUGAUCUUUUUAAAAUGCAGAUUCUGAUUCUGUGGGUUUGGGGUGGGGCUUGAGAAUCUGCAUUUCUAGCCAGCUCCCAGGUGAUGCCAUUAUUGCUAGUUCAUGGGCAAAUCUUAGAGAAGUGAGACUAUCGCCUUCUUCUGUGAGAUACAUGCACACAACCAUCAAGCCUGUCCCAACACAUGCCAGCCUAUGCGACCUCUUUAGGUUCUCUACUUGGCUUGCUGUUUGUCAUACCCAAUUCUGUUUUCUUACAGCAAAUCUUAGUGAAAAGGCUCUGGUCUUGAGAGAAGAGCAGUCAAAUUUGAAUGAAAUCAAGCAGGAUAUACCUAGACACAAAAUAUUAUCCAUAGACACGUUGUUACCUGCCAGCCCUCAUUGCCUUCUCACUAGUUAUUUAAACUUCUAAGUAGAAAAUUGUUCAUUACUUAAAUUUAGAAUAGUCUAGAAAAGUACAACAAAUGUUAAUUUCCAAAGUCUUGAGUACCUGAGAUAGUAAUUUUUGGAGCUUUAGUUCAAGACAAGAACAUCUCUGCGCAUAUCUAUUCAUCCUUUUUGUCACUCCUAUUAAAUGUCAUUCCCUUGUGUUUGUUUGAUUUAUGUUUCUUAGAAAACCACCUGAACUGUUUUCUGCAAUGAAUUGGGUGUAUAUUAACAAAUUAUUUAUGUAAACAUUUAUUCCUUCAACACUGAGUGCGCACUAUGUGUAAAAAAUUGUGGUAGUGACUUUGCUUCCAAGUUAAUAAAGCAAGCCAAGUUAAUAAAACUCUGUGGGUUUUCACUUCACAUCUGAAUAAUGAAGGGCUGGACUGGAUGAUCCUGAGCUCUCUGAGAGUGUGUCAUUCUAAGAACUGGGAGAAGCUGAAGUAGUAACAUUCUGCCUGUUGUCGCUUUUUAUUCUACAACACAAAAGCUUUUUUUAGCUUUUUCUCUUUCACGGGAAGCAGAGAAGGCACACAUCUUUCCGUGUGUGUAUUUGAUGGCCACGGGGCGAUAAGGAGGAAGGAAUGCUUCCCUAUGGUAACCUGGCUUUCUUUUCUUGAGUGGAAGAGUAUUCCUAUUAGAAAAAAUCCUACACAGUAUUUCUAUAUUCCUAUAUGUAAAAGCUAGCCCAUCCUGUGGGCCUUCCCUUUGCCUCCUGAGGUGGUUCCAGAGAGACCCUAGAUCUCUGUGGAAGUCAGAUGGAAAGCCACUGCCCUUAAGUAAGUUCUCUAAGAGACAGACUCCAAGCCACUCCAUGCUGUCUUUAUGUAAAUAGUGCUGGGGGUGGGAAAUCUAAUUUAGGAAGUCAAUAUUUCAGGGUGUGGAAAUCUGAGUAUGUCUAGGGACCUGAGGAAUGAGGAGUACAGAGGGGCCAUUUCCUUUUGAGGAU